rnacentral:rRNA from 1 species
CCUACGGGAGGCAGCAGUGGGGAAUAUUGGGCAAUGGGCGCAAGCCUGACCCAGCAACGCCGCGUGAAGGAAGAAGGACCUCGGGUCGUAAACUUCUUUUGUCAGGGACGAAGAAAGUGACGGCACCUGACGAAUAAGCAACGGCUAACUACGGGCCAGCAGCCGCGGUAAUACGUAGGUGGCAAGCGUUAUCCGGAUUUACUGGGUGUAAGGGGCGUGUAGGCGGGAUUGCAAGUCAGUUGUGAAAUUCCUGGGCUCAACCCUGGAGCUGCAUUUGAGACUGUAGUUCUGGAGUGAUGGAGAGGCAGGCGGAAUUCCGUGUGUAGCGGUUAAAUGCGUAGAUAUACGGAGGAACACCAGUGGCGAAGGCGGCCUGCUGGACAUUAACUGACGCUGAGGCGCGAAAGCGUGGGGAGCAAACAGGAUUAGAUACCCGGGUAGUC